CCUAAAUGAAGAAGGGAAUCCACCCACUCUCUUUUGAAAAAGGGAGUAUUCUUCCAUUAGGGACCGCUGGCCACAUUCUUUCUUUUUUUGCUUACUCACUUACUUACUUUCAUUUCUACAAGUCACGAAGACACAAAAUUUGGAGCAACCUGUUUUAUAUUUGUACAUAUAUACAUCAAAGUGAAUAAAGACUACCCUUUGGAGAACCAGAAAUCCUCGCCUCUGCGUUUCAAUUGGAAUCAAAACGAUCCGGUUUCUCAACCGCCGCAACCCCCAGCAGAGCCAUUUCUACAUUUUUUGGUCCUUCGAGCCGGAUUCUUCGAGGGAUAGUCCACAGCUAAGUACUGCAUGCCAUUUUGUCCAAUUGUAAGCCUUUUGCCGACCGCCAUAUCGCUUUGUCAAUUUUCCCUUUGGCCGGCAGAAGUUUUUACAUCGCUCCCUGCAUGUAUGUACAUAUGUGUGAUAGUUCUAUUUCUACAUUUGGUUCCAAAACUCCAAGUUUCAUCAAUUUCCUACAUUCUUUUAUUCUUGGCAAGUGAUCGUUUUUGCAUAAACAAAUAUUAAUUUGUGCAAUUAAUAAACAUUAAUAAACAUAAACAUACAUAACAUACAACACAUACACAUUUACAUAUUCCUACAUUUACUUCGGCCACAGUAACAGUGUCUUCACACUGCGUUACAUUUCUACAAUUCGCAUUUCUGGUGGACGGUACUUAAUUUAUUUUGUUCAACUGAUCGUUUUUGCAUAAACAAAUAUUAAUUUGUGCAAUUAAUAAACAUUAAUAAACAUAAACAUACAUAACAUACAACACAUACACAUUUACAUAUUCCUACAUUUACUUCGGCCACAGUAACAGUGUCUUCACACUGCGUUACACUUCUACAUUUCUGGUGGACGGUACUUAAUUUAUUUUGUUCAACUGAUCGUUUUUUUUUUCUGCAUAAACAAAUAUUAUUUUACUGCUACAUUCUAAAUUUUUUCGGACGGUACUCAAAUCACCGUAUUGUUUCGGUUUUCCGUCAGUGCACAUCAGUACCAUCCCGUAUUUCCGACAUUCCACGUUUCUGGUGGACGGUACUUCUACAUUCUGGAUUUUUUUUUUCUCAAUUCAAUUUUGGGAUUUAUUUGGUUUUCAUAUCCAAACUUGCUUCAGCUUCCUUUUUCUGGUAAUAAUUUUGCGCUUAUUCUCAAACCACUAUAAUGAUGUCUGAAGCAGGCCAGAAGCGGGAUCCUAGCCCAAGGGACGCGGCGGCUGGACCCGCUGGGAAUUUGAGAUCAAAAACUAGAACCUCCUUAGACGCUGCGGUGCUUGAUUUUAUAGCCACCAGCGACCGACUUAGCAAAUUUGAAAGCCGGAUUUGUGCGGCAUCCUCGUCCUCUGCCGAGCCUAAUUCUUUUACACUAAAGAUCCGCCUAGACCAAAUCCAGUCCCUCUGGGACAAGGUUGAGCGGGAAUACGAAGCAGUCUCCCGUCUAGCCCUUCACGAAGGAGGUGGCGAAAGCGUUCGGCAGCUUCAGAGCAAAUAUGAGAAUUGCUACUUGGUUUAUGAGAGGUGUGCUUCCCAAUUAAACGAACAUAUUGCCCGUCUGUCCGCCCCCAGUUCUCAGGGGAGUUCAAAUCCGUCCGUUGAGACGUUCUCGAAGGGUUGCAGGCUUCCGCCAUGUGACACGGAAAUCUUCACUGGAGAUUAUCUGCGGUGGCCCACCUUCCGGGACCUAUUCACAGCGAUCUACAUCGAUAAUUCCAGGCUGACUCCAGUGGAAAAAUUAUUCCACUUAAACGCCAAGACCAGCGGCGAAGCUCACGCUAUUGUUAGCAAGUCCCCCCUUACAAAUUCUGGGUUCCAAUCCGCAUGGUCUGCACUUCAAGAGCGUUUUGAAAACAAGCGACUCUUAGUAAAUAGCCAGUUGAAGGUUCUGUUCAAUCUCCCGAAGAUAAGCACCGAAUCAGGAACGGCCUUGAAGGAUCUUCAGAGCACGAUUCAAGGGUGUUUGAUUGCCAUGGAACACUCCAAUGUCUCCACAGAAAAUUGGGAUUGCAUUCUGAUUUUCUUCUGCUCUUCCAAGUUGCCAACAGUCACUCUCUCAUUAUGGGAACAGUCGUUGAACAACAAGUCCGAAAUUCCUACCUGGGACGAGAUGAAUUCGUUUCUCGAAGAUAGAUAUCGCACGCUAGAAGCGAUUGAAGAGGUUCGACUUCAUACUUCCAACUCACAACAUACUAGGGAGCCCAGGAACCCACAGCCGAGAAGGGUAAACUCCUUUGAAACGCAAGUCGGCCCACGUGUACGCUCCUGUGAUCUCUGCUCCAGAGAGUCACAUCCAGUUCGGCAGUGUCCUCGUUUCCUCCAGAUGACUCAACCACAAAGAGUAUCAUACAUCAAGCAGAAGCGAUUAUGCCUUAAUUGCUUCGCCCAAGGACACAAUCUUCGAGAGUGCACAAGUAGACACAAUUGUUUUACGUGCAAGGGCCGCCACAACACGCUGCUUCAUAAGGAAAGUCCUGCUACUUCCACCAGCGCAGCGCAGGCUCAUAAUCCAGAUCAGCCCACUGCGAACACUUCUGUUCAUUUCGCCUCCAAUCGGCAGGGCAUCCUUUUAGGAACGGCCAUUGUCCAAGUCUGUCACCAGGGUGAAAACUUUCCCGCACGGGCUUUGAUAGACUCAGGCUCAGAGGGCACCUUCAUCUCCGAGAAGCUUGCGACCAGAAUCAAGCUUCCUAGUCAGACCGUGAGAACUAGAAUCACGGGGCUGAACCAAACCAGCACAGGUGUCUCACAAAGGAUGUGUCACUUCCAGAUGGGCACGGCGGCGAAGCCGAUGCUCAAGAUAGACACGACUGCGUUGGUGUUGCCCAAUCUGGCCGGGAAUCUGCCGACGAGUUCGAUCGAUCGCAGCAUUCUCGGAAGACUUCCCAAUAUUCCGUUGGCUGAUCCACUCUUUUUCCAGCCCUCCCAGAUCGACCUUCUAAUAGGGGCGGAUAUUCUUCCGUCUGUCCUCCUCUUAGGCUUGAAGCCAAACUAAUGUGGGUCACUGCUAGGGCAAGAGACCAUUUUUGGGUGGAUUUUAACCGGGCCAGUUUCUACAGCCACUAGUAGGGUUUCGUCCUUCACAACAAAGAUAUCCAUAGAAUCGGAACCUACCAUGGAGACACUUCUCACAAAAUUUUGGGAGGUGGAGGAUCUUCCAUGUAAAGUAGUAAAGGAGUCGGACAACUUGUGCGAAGAAAACUUCGCUCGAACGACUAUCAGGUCUCGGGACGGGAAAUAUGUAGUAUCCCUACCCUUCAAGGAUGCUGAGCACAUCAACUUGGGGCAUUCCAGAUCAUUCGCUCUCGCACAAUUCCUAAGGAAUGAGACUCGCCUGAAAAGGGAUCCUAUUCUCAAAGAUACCUAUGACUCAGUGAUCAAAGAGUACAUAGAUCUUGGCCACAUGAAGCCUGUGCCUCCGAAUACGGACACGGUGAAUUUUUAUCUUCCCCACCACGCGGUUUUCAAGCCCGAAAGUACUACCACAAAGGUCCGUGUGGUAUUCAACGCAUCCAGUCCCUCGUCAAAUGGGAACAGCCUGAAUGACAUCCUGCAUCCAGGGCCAGUACUUCAGUCCGAUCUCACCCUCCAGAUCCUAAAGUGGCGAACAUUCCAAUUUGUCUUUAAUGCCGAUAUCACCAAGAUGUAUAGGCAGAUUCCCCUAAACCCUGCACACACCGCUUUUCAGAGAAUUCUCUUUCGAGAUGAUCGUGGGGACAUCAGGGACUAUGAGCUUCAGACUGUCACGUUUGAAGUUAAUUGUGCCCCGUUUCUAGCUUUACGAACGUUGCGGCAGCUGUCCGAGGAUGUCCACGCCAUAUAUCCACGGGCGUCUCGAAUAAUUUCAGAUUAUAUGUAUGUGGACAAUGUGCUUGCAGGAGCCCACACGAAGGUCGAGGCUACUUUAGCCAUUCAAGAGUUGAGGACAGCUCUGAGCUCCGCAGGAUUUCCUCUCCGCAAGUGGACAGCAAAUGAGCGAACUCUCCUAAAGGCACUUCCUUCAGACCACCUGCUCUCAGGUGACUUCCUCGACAUCUAAGAGGUGAGCACCACGAAAACGUUGGGAAUACGGUGGAACGCCAAGGCGGAUGAGUUCUAUUUUGUCCCGACUGAGCUUGUUGUCAAUGCGAAUUAUUCCAAGCGCAACGUCCUAUCGCAAAUCGCAAAACUGUUCGAUCCCGCUGGAUGGUUGUCCCCAUUUGUAGUCCAGGCCAAGAUCCUAAUGCAGGAUAUAUGGUUAGCCGGCAUUGGAUGGGACGAGUUUCUCCCUGCAGAGCUACGGCAACGCUGGCAUGAUUUCCUUCGCAGCCAUAGUUCCCUCCACAAGGUUCGCGUCCCGCGUUGGGUACAAUUCCGACCGGGAGCACAAGUUCAGAUCCACGGCUUCUGUGAUGCAUCUCAGAAGGCCUAUGGGGCAGCGAUUUAUGUUCGCAUCCAAUACGACGGAGGCAUUUCAUCAAGUCUGCUCACGUCAAAGACUAAAGUCGCCCCUGUCAAAACCGUUUCACUCCCGCGCUUAGAAUUGUGUGGUGCAGUUCUUCUUGCUGACCUGUGGGCGGCAGUUCUUCCUCACAUCCCGUUUGGUCGAAUAGAGACGUUUUUCUGGACUGAUUCCACCAUUGUGUUGGCAUGGUUGAACAAGCCACCAUGUCAAUGGACCACCUUCGUAGCGAAUCGAGUGACUAAGAUUGCUCUAAAUACAGAUGCCAGUCAAUGGUCACAUGUGCGUUCCGAGCACAAUCCAGCAGAUCUAGCCAGUCGUGGUGUCACGGCUGAAGAGCUGGCAAGUAGUGACCUCUGGUGGCAUGGCCCGUCGUGGCUGAGUCAGCCGCAAGUCGCCUGGCCCACGUCGCACGAAGAGGUAUCGGACCCUGAACUCGAAAGACGAUCCGUCCGGUGCCAUUUAGCGUGUCCAGCAUGGGAUCUCCUAGAGCGUUUUUCAAACUUCAAUCGCAUGCUGCGAGUCAUGGCUUUUGUGCAGCGGUUCAUCAACCGCUGCAGAUGCAUUCCUACGCCUUCUUCUACAGACUUAAGCAGUAAAGAACUCGCCCAUAUACAACUCAUGCUUAUUAGGCAGACUCAACGGGCCGACUAUCCAGAGGAAUACAACAUCCUGCAAUCCAAAGGACAGCUUCCCUCGUCCAGUUGUAUCCUCAACCUUAAUCCGUUCCUGGAUGCUGACGGCAUCAUGAGGUCAUGCGGUCGUUUGACUGCAUCUGACUCGUUAUCCUACGACGAACGUCAUCCUAUCCUUUUGGCGUACCAUUCCAAACUAGCAGAGCUUCUGGUCACAUUUACUCACCGUAUCUCCAUACACGGGGGAAACCAGCUUAUGGUUCGUCUCAUCCGGACGAGAUACUGGAUUCCGAAGCUGCGGAACCUGAUCAAACGUGUGACCACGACCUGCAAGGUGUGUUAUUCACCGGAAGAAGGUGCAGUCCCAGCUAAUGGGUAAACUACCUCAGUCCAGAGCGACCUAUUCGCGACCUUUUACACACACAGGACUCGACUUCGCGGGACCGUUUGAUGUCAAGAGCUAUUCAGGUCGGGCCUGUCGAAUCACGAAGGGCUAUGUCUGCGUCUUCGUGUGCUUCAGUACGAAGGCCAUCCAUUUGGAAGCCACUUCGGACUUGACCACGGAGAAAUUCCUCGGAGCCUUCUCAAGGUUCGCGGCCAGAAGAGGGUGCCCUCUCCAUCUUUACUCGGACAACGGAAAGACUUUUGUGGGCGCGGAGAAGGCCCUCACAGAAGAUUUCAUCGCUGCGGUUAAGGAAAAGGUUACCUCGUCAUUUAGUCACCAGAGCCUAUCCUGGCAUUUCAACCCUCCAGGCGCCCCCCAUAUGGGAGGCCUGUGGGAAGCAGGAGUCAAGAGCUUCAAGACUCACUUCUACAAGACGACAGACCAAUUUCAGCGAUGUCAGAAGAUCCGUCGGAUAUCCUCGCUCUCACUCCGGGACAUUUUCUGAUAGGCGGACCGCUACUUGUCCCCGCCGAACCUCCCACCGCCGGCGAAGCCAGUUCUAUCCUGAACCGAUGGCAGCGACUCAAAGCCCUUGGCCAGCUUUUCGCAUCGAGAUGGAAGGCUGAAUACCUGAAAGAGUUCCAUAAGAGGACCAAGUGGCAAAUUCCAACCAGGAAUAUGUCCGAAGGCGACAUGGUAAUUAUCAAGGAAGACCACGUUCCAUCGUAUGGGUGGCGUUUAGGGCGUGUUCAAAGGGUUUAUCCUGGCUCUGAUGACAAAGUUCGCGUCGUAGAUGUCCGCACGGCCCGUGGUAUCCUCAAACGGCCAAUUUCCAAAUUAGUUUUCCUUCCCGUAGACAAACAUGUCCAAUGUCUCUGCGUUCGAUGUCCAUAACUGUGAGAGUAAAGCGUAUCCACUAAUCAUUAUUUUUUUUUUUUUUUUCUUUCCGUUCUAUCCUCCAGUCGUUCUUCUCUCUCUCUCUCAUCUCUUUGCGCCAGCCAUGCCGUCCCAUCGCAACCAACGUCGCCAGCUCAUCGACAGAUGUUCUCGAGGAACUCGAUCGUUCCGAUGCCGAGUCUGUCAGGGGAUUCAUCCGCUUCGGACGUGUUCGCGGUUUCUCCGGCUAGAUGCCGAGCGGCGGCUCCGUGCGGUUCUCAUCAACAAAUAUUGCCCGAAUUGCUUGGCGCACCAGCAUUCCGGAGACUCGUGCCGAAGUGAGUGUCGCUGCCGAGUAUGUGGGGACGCUCAUCACACCCUGCUGCAUCUCCAUCGGCGGGAAAAGCGAGAGCGGUCUGCCAGCGCGGACAGGCCCAUCGAGACGCCAGAGCCGAAGGCCAGCAUCGAGCAACCCCGCCUCUCGGCAGUGCUCUCCCACACUACAACGGCUAUCCUGCCCACCGUCAAUCUGCGGUUCGACAUCGGGGACAAACGCUUCGAUGUGCGGGCUAUGGUAGAUGCGUGCUCUACUUUGAGCCGCAUUGACGGAUCACUAGCCGAGGCCAUGGCCCUCCCUAUCCUGGGAGUCGGUGAUGAGAGGGUGUGCAGAGCCACUCUCAUACCGAUGCAUACAGAGACGCCACGGAUUGAGGUGGUGUUCCACGUCGAGGAGCAGCUGCGAAUGCGGACUCCUGCCCGAGAGCUGCCUGACGCUGCCAAAACAGUGUUCACCAACCUCAUCCUGUCGGACCCCAGUUUCCACAGGCCGGCUGGUACCUCCGUCGUGCUAGGUGCGGAUGUGUUUCCCACGAUUAUCCAACCGGGUGUCAUGCACAGCCAGAACGGGCACAUCGUAGCACAGAGCACUGUUUUAGGAUGGAUGCUCUCCGGAACAUACGGCCACUGACGCAUCACAGAUUCUUUUGCAAUCUGUGGCAUUGCAAGGCGGGCGGGAUGUUUACUCCAGCUCCCGUGUGCCAGUUCCACGCGUCCCUAAAUGGAGAAGGGAAUCCACCCACUCUCUUUUGAAAAAGGGAGUAUUCUUCCAUUAGGGACCGCUGGCCACAUUCUUUCUUUUUUUGCUUACUCACUUACUUACUUUCAUUUCUACAAGUCACGAAGACACAAAAUUUGGAGCAACCUGUUUUAUAUUUGUACAUAUAUACAUCAAAGUGAAUAAAGACUACCCUUUGGAGAACCAGAAA